CCUUCUCUUAUGUGCAGACCAUGUCUAUGAACCUAAGCUAGGGAUAGGCUCCUAUUUGUGAAUCACAGAAUGCCAGAACUGGGUGUGAAUGUAGAAAUCCUAUUGUUCCACCAGCUCAUUGUAUAUAUCAUUAUAAAGGGAGUGCCAGAGUGCUUGAUUGACGUGCUUGCUCACUAUGACAGGCUACCUAGGUGCUCAUCUGUCCCAUUUCUUUGUCCUGGGUCCUUAAGAAGACUGCAUUACCAAAUUUGUGGUAAGAUUAGAGCUAUGUGACUACCCACGGGAUGUGAGCACAAGUGGUAUGCGCCAUUCUAGGCUUGCCACAAUCUUCUUCCUCACUUGUUACUUAAAUGCAAAUGAUCCUGUGGUGGACUCAGGAAAUCCUAGAAGAUGAAAGCAUGGCAAGAUGAAAAGAACUAGAAUCCCUAAAUAUCACAUCAAAGGCUAGACACCUCAUUGGACUAUGAUGUAGGUGAGAAAUAUAGUGUUAGGCUGCUAAGAUUUGGAGAGUUGUCUGUUACAGCAGCUAGAGGAAUUAUCCUGACUAAUACAUCGAUGGUGUAAUUUGGUGGUGUCAAAGCUUAACACAAGAUUUCUAAGUUCCUGUCCUUGCUCUCAAUUACAUGUCAUCCUUUAGGCAGAAACUAUUUGUCUCCACAGACUCCCAAGGAAUGUUUUUCUUAUUGAAUACCUUCCAGAAGAGGAGACGUUUAACUUUUGCAAAGCUGAAGUGACAAGCUGUGGACACGGUUACACUUGAGAGUUCUCAGUUUCUCCCACAAUGAUUCACAAGUGAGGCCACAGAUCACCUCACUUUCAUGCUGGCAGAGAGAUGGAGAACGUGUUUGCUUCUUCAAGCCACUGUGUAGACUCAUUGACAUACCCCACUGUGCCAAAAAGGGUGAAUUCUGUUCCUUAGUUGGGAAUGUCAAACUUUUUAGUGAUGUUUCCUGUAAGACUUUUUUUUGUCCUUGUUAUUUCUUUCUGAUUUAAAAUUUUUUUCAGACUGGGAUGAAGGAUAAUUUACUUUUAGACUUCUUGUAUCAUUUAUCUUACACAACUUUCUUAGAAAAAUAUAACUUUUGGGAAAGAAUAAAAUUCUUGAUGAACACUUUUAACUUGAGUUGAACCAAUUAACAUGUUGUCCAGUCCCCAGCUAGAUGAGCUAUGAUUGGCUUCCUCCAGAGACUGCAGCAUAAUUUUCAGGGACGAUUAGGAAGAAAUUUGACCUAAACCAAAAUCUAUUUGAAGAAGUUAGAAAAAGGAACAGCAAAAUAAAAUCAAAUAAAGUAGAAGGAAGGGAAUAAAGAUGAGAACAGAAAUUAAUAAAACAGAAAACAUAGAUACAAUAGAGAGCAACAAAAUCAAAAGCUCAUUUUUUGAAAGGACUACUAAAAUUGAUCAAGAAAUAAAUUGGCAAAACUGAUCAAGAAAAACAAGAGAGGUUUCUCUUAUUUUCUAAUAUAAUCAUUUCAAGGCUAUAAUUUUUCCUCUUAAAAACUCUUUUGGCUGUAGCCUACAAGGUUUUAAAUGUAUUUUGUUGUUGUUGUUGUUAGCAUUACAUUCAGACUUAAUUUCUAAUUACUUUAUGAUUUCUUCUUUGACCCAUAGAUUAUUGAGGAGUGUAUUUCUUAGUUUCCAAACAUAAGUGUAUUUUCUAAUUUUUAGGUUUAUUUCAUUAUGAUCAGAGAUCUUUCUCCUCAUGAUUUCAAUCACUUGAAAUCUGAUGAGACUUUCUUUAUGAUCUAGUAUACGCCCUUUUUUUUUU
ensembl:lncRNA